rnacentral:rRNA from 1 species
AUGUCACUCCGAUCCGGCGGCCGCAAGCUCUCGUUCGAGCUCCUCUCCAGCGGCCUCACCGCCGCCAACGACGCCGCCGACGACGACGCGUCCCCGCGCUCCCUCCCCGAGACCUCCUCCGAUGGCCAGCGCCGCCGCAAGAGGCGCUCCAAACGCAAGCGGGGGGCGCUCCAGAGCCCCCCGAUCGCGGAGGAGGAGCCGCGCGUGGACGCCCACCCGCCCGCCGCGCUCAGGGUAGCGGAUCUGAUGCCCGUGGUGGAGAAGGUCUGCCAGGCCUCGGACGCGGAGCGGUCCGCGGCGAGCUGCGUGGCCUACGUCGGCGUGGAGCUGAGGCAGAGGAACGUGGCCGGGAAUGGGAGGGCGGUGACGUUCGCCGAGGACGCGGCCAGCAGCUGCGGAAGCAGCUCGCGUGAAAGUGCCGCCGCCGCCGCUGCCGCGGUGCCGGAUGCGAUUGACCCGGCCCGGCGGCCCGAGGCGAACGGUGUCGUGAAGAAACUGGAGAAGGAUGAGUCGCUGGACUGGGAAAAGUACAUCAAGGAGAACAGCAACGUUCUCGGAGAAGUCGAGCGCCGUGACAAUUCACCAUUCAGAUACUUCAUUGGAGAAAUGUAUAGCGGCAAUUCGCUUAGGAGUACAAUUGCAGUGGGUAAUGACAAAAAGCGACAGCGGGUCUACAACACUAUGUUUCAUGUGCCUUGGAGAUGUGAACGGCUAAUUGUCGCAGGAUUCUUUGUCUGCUUGGAUUCAUUUUUGUCUUUGCUCACCAUUAUGCCUGCAAGAAUUGUGAUGACAGUUUGGCGAAUUCUGAAAACCAGGCAGUUUCUUCGGCCAAAUGCUGCUGAUUUAUCAGAUUAUGGAUGUUUUGUAGUUCUAGCCCUAGGAGUUACUUCUUUGCAAAUGAUAGAUAUUAGUUUGAUUUACCAUGUCAUUCGUGGCCAGGGCACGAUCAAGCUCUAUGUGGUAUACAACGUACUAGAGAUCUUUGACAAACUAUGUCAAUCAUUUGGCGAGGAUGUGUUGCAAGUUUUGUUCAACUCAGCUGAGGGACUGUCAACGUGUUCAACUGACAGGGUCACAUUCGAACUGUUGCGGUUCCUUUUGGAUGGGGCUAUUGCUGUCCUCGCAUUUGUUGUGCAUUCAUUUGUCCUCUUAGCCCAAGCUAUCACCCUGUCAACAUGUAUUAUUGCCCAUAACAAUGCACUAUUGGCUCUUUUGGUGUCCAAUAAUUUUGCCGAGAUUAAAAGCAAUGUAUUUAAGAAAGUUAGCAAAGAGAACCUUCACAAUCUGGUUUACUAUGCUGCAUUUGUCAAUAUCAUUGAGAGGUUUCACAUCACAGCAUUUUUACUGUUUGUACUAGCUCAAAAUAUCUUGGAAGCAGAGGGGCCAUGGUUUGACAGUUUUCUUAUUAAUGCCUCCUAUGUAUUUAUGUGUGAAGUACUUAUUGAUGCUAUCAAGCAUUCAUUCCUUGCAAAAUUUAAUGAGAUAAAGCCAGUUGCUUAUUCAGAGUUUCUGGAAGACUUGUCCAAGCAGAUAUUGAAUGAGCAACCUGAUGACCGCCAGAAAGAUCUAACAUUCAUCCCCCUUGCCCCUGCUUGUGUGGUAAUUCGUGUGCUGACUCCAGUGUAUGCCACCCUGCUUCCUGCUGGGCCGUUUAUCUGGAGAAUAUUCUGGAUCUUGCUCUGGUCAGUUCUGACCUAUUUUAUGCUCGCCAUCUUCAAGAUACUAGUGGGAUUGAUACUGCGUUGCCUCGCGACUUGGUAUAUCAAUCUACGUCUCACAAGAAAACAGCAUGCGGACUGA